rnacentral:misc_RNA from 1 species
GAUGUAGAACGCAGCGAAAUGCGAUAAGUAGUGUGAAUUGCAGAAUUCAGUGAAUCAUCGAAUCUUUGAACGCACAUUGCGCCCCUUGGUAUCCCGAGGGGCAUGCCUGUUCGAGCGUCAUUUCACCACUCAAGCCUGGCUUGGUGUUGGGCGACGUCCCCUUUGGGGACGCGCCUCGAAACGCUCGGCGGCGUGGCACCGGCUUUAAGCGUAGCAGAAUCUUUCGCUUUGGAAGUCGGGGCCCCGUCUGCCGGAAGACCUACUCGCAAGGUUGACCUCGGAUCAGGCAGGGAUACCCGCUGAACUUAAGCAUAUCAAUAAGCGGAGGA